GAUUUAAUAGUAUAUUGUGUAGAUAGUUGCUGUGUGCUUAAAUGUAUUCGUUCAUUUUUAAUUCGUAGAAUAAAGACUCAAUUAGUAAUUCUUUAGAAGUAUAGAAUAUUGGUAUGUAAUACCAAUAUUCAACAUUUUAAUAAAUUUUGUUUUAUUGUGACUGUGAGAGAGCUAUUGUUGUAUACAAGUAGAUGAUUCAAGACUGAUGAUGAAGAGAAUCGAGAGAAUCAACAUAACAACUCUAAAGAAUACAGAGGACUUACAUUUUUCUGUAUUAAAAUAAUGAAAGCCACCGCCCACUAGUAUAAGCAGUUGGUAAAAUGGCAAUGAAAUUUUGAUGGUGCAGACCAAUAUUUGGAAAUUCCAGUGUGUCAAUGGAAGAAACGCUUGACGAAACUGAAAAUUAAGAUAAUUCUGCAUAUGACACCAUUAUCUUUUAUCAAUGGAUUGAAAAAAUAAAUUUACAAUAAUGAAAAUUGAGUUAUACUUUAAAAACCAUGUGUAUCGAAUAUAUCCAGAGCUCUAUCUUGGAAAAGCACAUAUUAACAAUAUACUAAUUUGAAAAGAAAAGGACUUUAAGUGAAAAUGUCAGGAAUUAAUAUAUUUAUCUAUCAGGAAAUUCUGAUUCUGAAGCCAAAUACCACACUGCUGGUAUUUGGUUAGGAUUUCAAGCAAGAGGAACAAAAGAUAGUCCCUACUUGACUAAAGGCACUUCUCAAAGAUUUUUUAUGCUACAUAUGGGCCACAGGAUUAAUUGGGAAGAAAUUGAUCUGCAUCAUUUUAAGCUACAAGAGUGUAAUAUUUAAUAAUAUGAAUAGAGAAAUUGUUAUUUUAGAUAUCUUUCAAUAGUUCUUUUCUAAGGCUUCAUAAUAACAAGAGUCCUAUCAAUGGACACCUGAAAACGCUAGGCUUAGCAGAGAAUACAACAUGCAUAUUCUGUUGUGCAGAGGAUGAAACCUCUAUCCACAUUCUCUUAAAGCGUGAGACACUACGAAAAUCCAGAGCAAUAUACCUGGGAGCAUAUGAAAUAGAAGACGAUGAUCACUGGCAGGUACAGCCAUCCCACAUUUUGGACUUUUUCAAGAGGAGUGAAAUUAAUAGAUCAGCUGUAAACAUUGGUAUCCCCAGUAUAGUAACCCAGCAAGAAAGAGGGACACAAUAGAUCCUUUGGGUCACAGUAUAUAUGGUACCCCAAUAUACACACUGUAUUAUGUAGUAGUACAUUUCUAUACUGUUCCAAGAUAGUAGUUUUGAGUUUCACAAGCAGCAAUAAAAAAAUAGUUUUAGGUUCAAAUUAAAAGAUUUUAUGUAAUGACAUAUAAAUUUUUAUUUUAUUUUAUCAUAUUUUAUAUUGUACAUCUUUUUAUGUACUUGACUUGUAUAUUUAUUUAUAUACUUCAUUGUUACUUGCUUAGUCUAUAAAAUUGUAAUUUUUUUAUGGCAAUAAAGCAUUUUCUUUCUCA